rnacentral:tRNA from 1 species
GCUAGGGUGGUGUAGCCUGGUAGCACUGGGGAUUGUGGCUCCCUUAGCUCGGGUUCAAAUCCCGACCCUGGCC